CUCGUUCUCAGGCUCCCGUGGUGGGUCCCCUGCUCACCCACCCUGGCAGCUCCCACAGAAGGAAGCAGCUCUUCUCGAAAGUUCCCAACAGCGUCCCCCGCCGGUUUCCACAGCUCUCACGGUGGCUGGAGGGCCCCGUGCCCUUGUGAGCCUGUCAGCAUGGCACCUGGGCUGUGAUGCUGCGUGCUGGCCUGGUCACUUGCAGGGAGGGGGCCCAAGGCUGGUCUGAACCACGAGCCUGGUGGGGUGGGAGGCGGGUAGCAGAGUCCCCCGGGCCCUUCCUCUCAGAGAGAAAGCAGAUGAGACACAAGUGACAAGCUGUCAGGAGGGAAUCCUCCGCUUUUCGGGAUAACUCAACAAACGCACAAGAAGGACUUGCUGCCCACGAAACAGCGGUGACGCUCAGGUACUGAACUCCACGUUUCCCCGAAGCAGGGGUGGGAGGGCUGCUCACGAGGCCGUCACCCCGGGGUGAAGAUUCAGGACCUUCCAGGCCUGCUGGCUGCAGGCCGGCUUUGCCCAGACCCCGAAGGGCACAAGCAGCUGUCGCUGUGGGGAGGCCAGGGCGGGGGGCUGGGAGAUGGAGGCCAGCUCCACGGGGCGUUCAGCCCGUCAGCCCCCAGUGGAGACUUCUCAGAGCACUGGAUUUCGGGAGGUCACGGACAGGCAGCAGGAGGCCCUGGAAGUCAGUGCGCCUUCACCUGGGACAGGGAGGCCCCUGCCCCAUCGCGGGCUUCCUCAUUCCAGAGUCUGCUUCCAGGCACCACAGCCCAAGUCCAGGGGGAGAAGUAGUUCAAGCCCCCCAAACACUCAGCAGGAUGUCGUCGAGGAGAGCAGAGCGUCUAGAGGCAGACCUCCUGAUUUCUUCCGGCUCUGUGACCUUGAACUGGUCCCGUUACUCUGGAGCCUUAUUGUCCUCUUGAGUUGUUGUUGUUUGGUUGAUAAGUCGUGUCCGACUCCUUGUGACCCCAUGGCCUGCAGCCCACCAGGCUCCUCUGUCCGUGGGAUGGAGUGGGUUGCCAUUUCCUCCUCCAGGGGAUCUUCCCAACCCACAGAUUGCCUCCACUGGCAGGCAGAUUCUUUACCACUGAGCCACCAGGGAAGCCCUUCCUCAUCAGUAAAGUGGGAAUAAUCAUCACACCUGCCUCAGUACCGACCGCCUGGCACACGGGGUGGCUGCGAGGAACGUGAGAUGGUGUGAGCUGGGGACUUGGGCGGGUGAACAGCUGUGCAAUAUCCAGGGUCGUUCAGGUGCCGUCAGAAGUGGUCGUCCCAGCCCCAGCCCUUCAAGAGACCCAGACUGAGCUUAAAGGAUUCCUCGUCCCCGCCAACCAGGGUCAGCUUCCAGCAUCAGUCAAACAGACCAAAGAGGCUGGAAUCCCCCGGACGUUCCACUCCGUUAGCUCUGCUAACUGAUUCCGCAGCCAGCCCUGAUAGAUGCAGAGCUGGACUUUGCUGUCUGUGGUCAGAUUUCCUGGUAGCAGUCACUCUGGCCUUGACCUCUGUUCUUAAUCCCGAAUCCCCUGUGGCCCCUUUGCCCAGGGGCAGGCCAGACAGCCCUCUAUCUUAUCUACGGAGCUGAAUCCACGUCAAGAGUGAAGGACCACCACACCCUGCCGUCCGGCAUCGCAUCCGCCCGACCCAGUAGCACCUGGAGCAGUCCCGGGCAGGCUUCCCCAGCCCCGAUUUGACACCCAGAGGAGCUGACAGCUGAGCUGACCCCAUCGCCCUCUGCCCGCCCUCUCCUGGUGCAAACACAUCGCUCGGUGUCUCCGGCAGAACCAGGGAUGGGCCAUGCUCCCGACCGUCUCAAGAGCCAUUCCGGCCCCCAGACCUGCCUGGUGCGUUGCUCCCUGAAGUGCCUGCACACCCGUGAUGGCCACGGUGGAGGUGAGGAGGGCAACUUUGGCGGCGCUGAGUCACCCGCCCGAAGGUGCGUGGUACCUGGCCCAGGACACAGACGGACCUCGGCCGGGUCCCCUGCCAGCCUCAGGACACCAGCCCGCCCUUCAGCGCAGCUCUGCCCACCCCAUCCUCCCAGCAGAAGGUUGUGCUGGGGGCUCCUUCACCCCAAGAAUGCCUCACUCCUGGAGCCCCUAGCUCUCUGCCCCAAGGCUGGAGACCUUGGGAAACCCAAGUGCUUCCCCACAGGGAAGCACGCACCUCCAGCUCCUGAGGCCAGCUCUGUGACCCCUGCCCUCCCGGGGACACCACUGAGCCCGUACGCUCUCUGGAGUGCUCUAUCUGGUCAGGAGACUCACCUCUGCCUCCCUUGGUCACUGAACAACACAGAGCCCCACACAGGGAAGGCUCCUUGGAAACCUGCCCGAUUUGAUUGCCCUUUGUGUUGGGCUCAGAACUGUUCUCCCACCAAGAAGGCUCUGGAGUCUAAAAUUCUGUGUGGUCCCCUCUGUCUUCCUGUCGGACACGGUGCUACGGACAAGCACAGGGGAACUUCAGCCCCUCCCCACCCCCGGAGGGACUGGCCCUCUUGGACUGGAGCCUGAACUGGUCUGAGUGGUCACGGGAGCCGGGAUCACCCUGGUGUGCAGGGGCGCUUUUUGCAGACGGAUCCGAAAAGCAAGAAUCUAGACUCCAUUGUCUAGGAUUCUAUUUUAUGUGUUG
ensembl:lncRNA